rnacentral:rRNA from 1 species
CAAAAGCGUAUAUUAAAGUUGUUGCAGUUAAAAAGCUCGUAGUUGAACCUUGGGCUUGGCUGGCCGGUCCAUCUUUUUUGAUGCGUACUGGACCCAGCCGAGCCUUUCCUUCUGGCUAGCCUUUUGGCGAACCAGGACUUUUACUUUGAAAAAAUUAGAGUGUUCAAAGCAGGCCUUUGCUCGAAUAUAUUAGCAUGGAAUAAUAGAAUAGGACGUUAUGGUUCUAUUUUGUUGGUUUCUAGGACCAUCGUAAUGAUUAAUAGGGACGGUCGGGGGCAUCAGUAUUCAGUUGUCAGAGGUGAAAUUCUUGGAUUUACUGAAGACUAACUACUGCGAAAGCAUUUACCAAGGACGUUUUCAUUAA